GGCCAAGGAACAACAGUUAUAGUUUAUUACAUAACUACAGGGACGAACGAUGGCAGUUGGCAUAGAUGCAUGCAAUGUCAAACUAUCAGAUGGAGCUUGUCCCUGAUGAUAGCGGCGGACGUGGGAGAAACAGGUGGGGUACCCGUCCGUAAGACUGGGUUACUCCGGGAAACCGAGGCGUAAUGCCAGAGUUGUUGUCUGAAAUGCAGGGUUCAGACAUAAACGGUGGCUUCGGGUACCACUUACAGAUGGAACGCGCGGCGCAUUAGCUAGUUGGUGAGGAAACGGCUCACCAAGAGCGACGAUGCGUAGCCGACCUGAGAGGGUGAUCGGCCACUACUGGGACUGAGACACGGCCCAGACUCGUACGGGAGGCAGCAGUAGGGAAUCUUCCGCAAUGGACGAAAGUCUGACGGAGCAACGCCGCGUGAGUGAUGAAGGUUUUCGGAUCGUAAAGCUCUGUUGUUAGGGAAGAACAAGUGCCGUUCAAAUAGGGCGGCACCUUGACGGUACCUAACCAGAAAGCCACGGCUAACUACGUGCCAGCAGCCGCGGUAAUACGUAGGUGGCAAGCGUUGUCCGGAAUUAUUGGGCGUAAAGGGCUCGCAGGCGGUUUCUUAAGUCUGAUGUGAAAGCCCCCGGCUCAACCGGGGAGGGUCAUUGGAAACUGGGGAACUUGAGUGCAGAAGAGGAGAGUGGAAUUCCACGUGUAGCGGUGAAAUGCGUAGAGAUGUGGAGGAACACCAGUGGCGAAGGCGACUCUCUGGUCUGUAACUGACGCUGAGGAGCGAAAGCGUGGGGAGCGAACAGGAUUAGAUACCCUGGUAGUCCACGCCGUAAACGAUGAGUGGUAAGUGUUAGGGGGUUUCCGCCCCUUAGUGCUGCAGCUAACGCAUUAAGCACACCGCCCUGGAGAGGAAAAU
rnacentral:rRNA from 1 species